AUAACAAUAUUAAUUGAAACAAAAUUUUUAAGUUUAUAAAAAAUAGUUUUUUUAAUAUAAUUUUUUAAAAGAUAAAAUUUUAUGAAUAAAAAAAUAAGAAAUAAUACUUAUUUUGAAAUAUCUCGUACGCAAUAUCGAAUCGCCUCUAGAAAGCUUCAUUUUUGAUACGCAACACAAAGCAUGGUCUCGAAUUCACGAUUGAUACUGUAAUUCGAGUUUAUUGUAAGCUAAUGAUCGUAAUUCUUGUUGAAUAGCGUUUCUUGCGCGUUUCAAUGGGAUGUAACGAAAGCCCCUUGUUCCAGGGAUAUACAAAUAUACUGGAUUGUGAAAUAAUGUGUCGAUUUUAAGUUUAGUCACGUAAAAAGAAGACAACAUAAAAUAAAUUAUCUGGUUAAAGGAUUUUCAAAAAAUUGCGUUUUACCAUCUUUAUUCUUUGUUGAUCGAAUGUUAUUUGUUUUAUGCAAUCGGAAAGUGUUGGAUGUCAAAAGUAAGAAAAAAUUUAAAAAUCAAUUUAAAAAAUUGUUUAAAUCAUGUUUCAUCGAAGAUUUUCAUGAGUUCCACAAAAGAACAAAAUGAUAUAUAUCCAUGGAACGAUCGAAUGCUUUCUUCCCUUGUGUGUUUGCUUUGUAACUUGAAACAGGCUAUAUAGAUUCAUUUUCUCUUCUUUUUAUAUGGUGAACCUCGAUCGCUUUCUAUGCGAUAUGAUCGUUUUCUUUCUUUUUCUUUUGUGCUAUUAAAUGAGAGCGCGAUUGACGUUACACCAUAAAUUAACUACUAAAUAUUAUUAUUAUUAUUUCUAUUCCUAUUAUUAUUAAUAUUAAUGUUUACAUAUAUAUAUAUAUAUAUAUAUAUAUACAUAUAUAUAUAUAUAUGUAUAUAUAUAUAAUAGAUUCAUUCAUUUAAUAUUUUCCAAGAAAUAUGUAUUUAUAUUCAUAUAUAUACAAACAUUUGAAUAUAAUUAUCUAAAUCGGCGUUAACCUAUCCAAAUUAAUUUUUUAUCACGCAAUGCGAUCAUAAUGAUCAGACAAAUGACAAUUCCUUCAUUUAAUCUAUUAUUUUCAUUCGGCUUUGUGGUAUUUUUUAUAACUAGUAGGUAUUUUUGAUUAGUCUGGUGAUUUGGAUCGUUUUGGUGAUUUUUGUCUUUUUAAUAUGGCGAAAUCGUGUGUCAAAGUGCCUAAAAUCAUUGAUCGCGAAUGUAAUCUAUGUGAUCUACAGCUCAGUCUUGACGAUCGACCUCUCGUUUUUUAUGUAAAUAUACAGAAGAGUCGGUUAAUAAUAAGCUAUUACAGAUAUACAUGUAUUUUUUAUUUUUCGUACUCUUUUAAAUGAACUUUUAACUAAUAAAAGAAGAAAGAUAAGGUAAUUAUGUAGUCAUAUAUUUUAUAAAAUGUUUUCUCGAUUAUUUAAAUCCAAUUCAAGUUAUUAUUGAAUAAUCUUUAUGUUACAAUUAAUCAUCAAGCUGACUUCUUCCGGUAACCAAUCGAGCAUUCUGGUCGAUUGAUAGGUUUGUUGAUGAGAGUUUCAACCUUUGAUAACAUUGUUGGUGAAAGUAUACAAUUUGUUCCACGAUAACAUGGCGUUAGAAUUAUGUUGUUCUAUUAUGCUUACCUACCUCGAAUCCUAGAUAAAAUGAGCGAAGUUUCGAUGCGCUUGGCAAGAUUAUAUUACGAUACACUUCGUUUCACAGAUGGUCUACUUUUGAGAGCGGUAACUAGUGUCUAAUUUACAUAUUUAGGCUGCCUAAAAUCUUUUCAAGAAAGAUCAUGAUCUGAAAAAUGUUUAAAAAGAGUUGUGCAACGUUUAAUGGAUGGAUUGCGUGCCACCAACAAUUGGUGCUUUCUUUUGAUUCGCAUUCUUCAAAGAAUAAUUUCUCAUGAUGUUCGCUUCGUGGACCUUUAACAUUCAUUUCAUUGCACGAAAAUAGAUGUUUGCUUACUAUGAAGAAACUCGAAACAAGAUAAAGCACUUUUAAGAAACACUAAAUGACUACAUUCGAAUCUAUUGUUGUCGUCGUAUCACAUCAAAUGAUUAUAAAUCAUUUUUUCACGGAUUGAUCAAAUUCAAAAAGAUUGUUAUUCAAAAAAAUUCAAAAGAUGAUAUAACAACACUGAUAAACGAUACUUAACGCGGGUGAAACUAUCCAAAGCGUUCAUUCUUCGACAGGCCAUUGUUCUAUUUAUCGGUAUACAAGUACGAUCUUGCAAUUUCCUGCGAGCGAAUCUCGUCUCAUGAUUAUUUUUCUACAUGAUGUAGCAGGAUUGGUUUUGAAAUCGGAUUUAAAAUCCUGUGAAAACAUUGUUGAAGCGCUUAUAUUUUGUUUAAAUUUCGCGCAAAUAGUCAAAUACGAAUAAAGAAAAU